GCGCACACACACACACACACACACACACACACACACACACACACGCACACACACACACACACACACACACACACACACACACACACACACACGUGUGCUAGAUAGGUUAGGCUACACUCUAUGGUAGGAGAGCCAAAUAUCCAGCCUGAGAACCAUCGGAUGGGUUUGAAAAAUGGGGGGGCUUAAACUUUUUUUCCAAGUUUUUACCAUGGCUUUUUUUUCUAAUAUAGGCUUAAAAUGUUUUAAUAUUUGAUUUUUAAAAAGUAUUUCUUGGCUCAACCUCUGACCGGUUGAGCCAGUCAAUGCAGAUUUAAUCUGAUCUGGAAUCAGUCCAAAGAAAAUAAAACACUGAUGUGUGGGCGUGUGAAUGAACCCACUGCAUGUACAAACAGAUGUAACACUGUGACUGAGUUAAAGUGAAACUGUCUGAGCCUGUCCCUGUGAAACAGAGUUCGGAGCCUGCAGCCUUGUUUCAGUCAGAAUAAAGUCUGAAUAACCAAAUGUUGUGAUGACUUCCUUCUACACAGAGGGCAGGACUUUUUUAGGGCCCGGCAGCUUCAGCAGUACUGAGAACAGUGGCUGUGUUUGUGGGAGGUGCUUAAAUGAAAAGAGCCCAGGCAGCAGGUUUAACAGGUCUUUGCAUUCAAACAUGAAGUCUGAUUCAAUACAACCUGGACAUACACCCACAGUAUACCAUCACUAAGCUACAUUUUCAGUUCAUUCCUCUGUGAAUGUUUUAAAAGAAAACUAAAAACAGUAAUUUCAUUCAGACAAAAGGUGCUGAUAAGGUGGGACAGGAAUUUUCCAGACUGCUGCGUCAUAAUAUUUGAAGUCCUGUUUGAUUUACUGUUUGAUUUUCUCUAGAAAUAUAUUUCAUCAGGAGGCACAAACCUGCAGCUUUGUGAUUUCAUUAAUAUAAGACAAACAUUUAAUAUUUCUCAGGUAUAUUUGAGUCUAACUGGUUCUUGUGCUUCAAAUUUAAACACUUUCAUUUAGAUUUAAAACAUCUACAAAAGUCUUGGGGCAAAAGUCAUGUUUGUAAAAACAGAGAGUAGAAAACAUGACGUGACCAACAGCUGAGACAGUGGAAAAACUCACUUCCUUCUAGCUGUCCUUCCUCUUACCUGCUCACCUGUGACUUCUGUAAACAGGCUGUGUCCACUUUGAUGUCUGUGCCGCCUGGUGGCCAGUACAGGUACUACAUCAACCCCAUACCUCUCACCAGACCUCAACCUAAGAGCAAAUACACACUUCUGAUUAUUAUCCACUAAGGCUUUAAAUAUUUGCCAUCUAAUAGUAAAUUUUAUUUUAAAUGUGAGUGUUUUAUGAUAUUGAUCUGUUAAUUUUUUCUGUCUUAAAUGCUUCUUGGGGACACGUGACAUAAAAGAAUUAAUGAAUAAAAAUAUUUCAACCUCAAAAGCUGCCUAGAAAUAUCUGAGUUAUCGCUCAGAAGAGGUCGAAGCUUCAGCAACAUUUGUAGUAGAAAACAACUUUAUUAUUUUUCCAAUGCUUUUUUUCACAGACUAACCAGAUUUUUAGAGGCACACAAUCACAAAUUUAGCCUAUUAUCAUCUUCAUUUACACUUUUGUCUUCUUUUAUCUUUAAAAACAAACACUUGACUUUAGAAAAUAAAAAAAAACCCACUGAAACCAUUAUUUGACCUUACAAAUCAUAAAAAUAUUUUCACUUUCAGUUAAGCCAGAUUUGUCAACCAAACAUGGGUGAUGAGAUCUGCCCUCAAAAUGUGUGUGGUUGUAUCUUUUUUCUAAACUUUUGAAUCCAAUAUAUAUGCAAAAUAUUA